rnacentral:rRNA from 1 species
GUCUUUUUGAAUUUAAAUAUAAAGUCUAAUCUGCCCACUGAUAAAUUAUUUAAUGGCCGCAGUAUUUUAACUGUGCAAAGGUAGCAUAAUAAUUAGUUUUUUAAUUGAAGGCUUGUAUGAAUGAUUGGACGAGAUAUAAACUGUCUCAUAAAAAUUUUUUUAGAAUUUAAUUUUUUAGUUAAAAAGCUAAAAUAAAUUUAAAAGACGAGAAGACCCCAUAGAUCUUUAUAUUUUUUUUUAUUAUUAUUUUUUAGUUUUUUUAUAAAUUAAUAAAUAAAAAUAUUUUGUUGGGGUGACAUUGAAAUUUAAUAAACUUUCAAAAUUUAAUAACAUUAAUUUAUGAAUUUAUGAUCCUUUAUUAUUGAUUAAAAAUUUAAGUUACCUUGGGGAUAACAGCGUAAUUAUUUUGGAGAGUUCAUAUUGAUAAAAUAGAUUGCGACCUCGAUGUUGGAUUAAGAUUAAUUUUGGAUGCAGCAGUUCAAAUUAUUAAGUCUGUUCGACUUUUAAUUUCUU